UACGUAGGGGGCAAGCGUUGUCCGGAUUUAUUGGGCGUAAAGAGCGUGUAGGCGGCUUGGCAAGUCCGCUGUGAAAACUCGAGGCUCAACCUCGAGCUGUCGGUGGAAACUGUCUGGCUAGAGUCCGGAAGAGGAGUGUGGAAUUCCUGGUGUAGCGGUGAAAUGCGCAGAUAUCAGGAAGAACACCUAUGGCGAAGGCAGCACUCUGGGACGGUACUGACGCUGAGACGCGAAAGCGUGGGGAGCAAACAGG
rnacentral:rRNA from 1 species